AUGGGUGCAGGAAGGACAGCCGCCUUUCUCAGAACCCAGCCUGAGACCCAGAACAGAACAAGAAAAGGUCCUGAGAGGGCGUCUUUCUGGAUUUUCUGCCUCAUCAGAGAAGGCAGGGUCUCUCUGUUUCCUCGAACUGCUCUGACGUCUGCCAAACCACAGUCUUCCCUCUCACGGGGAAGCAAGGCAGGAAACAGGCCGUGUCACCCGACAAGAAGGUCGCUUCACCAGGAGGGCAGAAUCCAGGCAGGAGAAGCCUGGGGCGAGCAGUACAGGCCCUUUGCCCUCAGUUCAGUGCAGUGCAGUGCAGUUCGGUUCAGGCGCUCAGUCGUGUCUGACUCUUUGCGACCCUAUGGACUGCCGCACGCCAGGCCUCCCUGUCCAUCACCAACUCCCAGAGUUUACUCAAAGUCAUGUCCGUCGAGUCGGUGAUACCAUCCAACCAUCUCAUCCUCUGACGUCUCCUCCUUCCGCCUUCAAUCUUUCCCAGCAUCAGGGUCUUCUCAAAAGAGUCAGCUCUUCACAUCAGGUGGCCAACGUAUUGGCGUUUCAGCUCCAGCAUCAGUCCUUCCAAUGAACGUUCAGGACUGAUUUCCUUUAGGAUGGACUGGUUGGCCUUAGUAGUUUCAAUUUCUGAGGACAUCUUCUUUUCUCUUUCUAAUAAUACCUACUUUUUCUUUUUAUUUGAUGGUCUUUCUCAAGCUUUUAUCAAGUGUAGUAGAAAGGCUUUCAUAUACAUAUAUAUAAAUAGUAAGUAAAAUAUAAUAUAUCUAUUUUAGGAAAUGUAGGCAUGUUUGCCUAGCUAAAAAAUUUAAGACAUUUUGAUUUCACUUGUUUGACUUAGUAUGAAUAGAAAGCUAGAUUUCUAAUUUUAAAAACAUAGAUACACAACAAGCAAGAAAGGUUUACUGUAUACCACAGGGAAUGAUAGUCAUUAUCUUAUAAUAACAAAGUAAUAUAUGUGUGUGCAUAUAACUGAAGCACCCUGCUGUGUAAGUCAACUAUGCUUCAAUAAAAUAUACAUAUUAAUUUAAAAAAUAAUAAAUAGCUACUUUUCUUUCUUUCUUUUUUUUUUGCUGACCCAGGUGGCUUGUGGGAUCUUAGGUCCUCAACCCAGGAUCCAGCCUGUGCCCCCCGGCAGUGGAAACAUGGAGUCCUAACCACUGAACCAUCAGGGAAGUCCCUUAUUUUCAUUUUUUUUAAUUGAAGUAUAGUUGUACAAUAUUAAUAAGUUACGGGUGUGUAAUAUGUAUGUGCUAAGUUGCUUCAGUGGU
rnacentral:lncRNA from 1 species